rnacentral:snRNA from 13 species
AGCUUUGCGCAGUGGCAGUAUCGUAGCCAAUGAGGUUUAUCCAAGGCCCGAUUAUUGCUAAUAGAAUUUUCCUAGAGCCCUAAGCGCAAAGACCAUUUCUUUUCAUCUUCUCCGUUGAA